GGGGCAGCGGGGGGCUCUGGGGGCUGGGGAUCCUUGGGGCUGCACAGAACUGAGCUAAGGGGGGUGUGGACCUGGCGGAGCCAGGAGGGCGCUGGGGAAGGCCUGCUGAGUGCACUCGGGGGGAGAGCAGUGGGCACCGUGCUGUCUCACUGGCACGUGACAGCCAGGAAGACGCAGGGCGUAGGGAGAGGAGGCUGCACACCUCGGGAACUGGGGAGGGCCAGACCCCAAAAGAGCCUCCUAAAGGGCAGCUGGCCAAGGCCACACCCCCCCUGCACUGUGCUGGCCCAGGAGACCUGGUGGCCUGCGCCGGUGUGGCCAAGCAUGUGACGCUGGAAUGGCCCCGAAGAUCAAGGACAUGAGCCAGGUCAGUGCGGCAUCUCUGCUGAGCCACAGCACAGCAGGCCUGAGCACACAGACGCCAGCAGCCCAAAACAGCAGCCGCAGCAACUUCCCCUGUGCCGGCUUCUUCUCAGGGGGGUGUGCCACUGCCAUAUCACCUCCCCUCUCUGGACGGGGACACCGAGCCUCUAGAGAACUGACUUCUCCAGGUGGGUCUGGGAGCGCGCUGAGUCUGUCUGCUGGUGAGGACACGGGAGCUCUGGGUGAUGUGGAUGAUCUGGUCCUGGGACAAGGGGUCCACUUGGGAGUCGAACUCAGGCUUCUGGGCUCCUAGCCUUCCUGGACAUUUCUUUGCCUCUCAGGACAAAAUAUCUGAACCAAAGCAGAGAACCAGACUGUGAGUGGACAUCAGGUCAAUCUGCCUGUAUUUCUCCACCAACGAGCUUCUGCCUCUGACACUAAAGAGGCCAGGACGUCCCCGCUGACUGCAGUGACCGGGGCUUCGAGGGGUAUGUUUGACCCGGCCAGCCAGCUGUCAGAAGUGCAGACACCAUUCCCUCUGUCCCAGGCACAAACUGCCUGAGUUGCUCCACUCCAGGCGUCCACUCUUGUUUCUUAGUUCAGUUCGCAAAGUUAGUCCGCUGAUCCCAAGCCAACAGCGUCCCUGCAUGCAGCUCUCUGGGGCUCUUUCGUCAGCAGGGGAGCAGGAGGCUUGGGGCGGCUCCCACCCUUCCUGCCCGUGGGACACUCUGAGCCCCGCUGACAGCCCCGACCCCGCCCUGCCACCUUCCCGGACACCGCAAGUGCCUGACGCUUUAGCCCGACACCCAGGCCAACCCGAACCCCUCGUGGCCCUUCCUGACAUCUUUCUUGGUGACACCUGUUUGCCACGUCCCAUGGUUCAGGCUCACAAAUGCUCAGUCACUGAGGCAGGGAGCAGAGAAGGCAGGUAAUUGAAUCACAGCAUAAAUGGGUCCGAUUUGACUCCCAGCCACCGCCAACAGCCGUGUGACUUGAAUCAAGACGUGACCAUAUCUCUCUGGUGUGCUGUGCAGAGAUCAUGAUAUCCGAAUUGUGAGGCAUCUAGUACUUCUACAACAAACUCUCAAUAAAUAGUGGAUAUUUAGCUAUUAAUAAUGAAGU
ensembl:lncRNA